rfam:Musa acuminata subsp. malaccensis Doubled-haploid Pahang (DH-Pahang) genomic chromosome, chr5
GGUUGCUGUGACGAAUCUGGAAAAUUCAAGCUCAACAGACCGGAUCGCAGGUCUCGCUUUCUGGAGGGAUUUGUAUGUCGACUGCCCCGCUGAACUGAACAAGC